UACGGAGGAUGCGAGCGUUAUCCGGAAUUACUGGGCGUAAAGGGUGCGUAGGCGGUCUUUCAAGCCAGAAGUGAAAGGCUACGGCUCAACCGUAGUAAGCUUUUGGAACUGUAAGACUUGAGUGCAGGAGAGGAGAGUGGAAUUCCUAGUGUAGCGGUGAAAUGCGUAGAUAUUAGGAGGAACACCAGUAGCGAAGGCGGCUCUCUGGACUGUAACUGACGCUGAGUCACGAAAGCGUGGGGAGCAAACAGGAUUAGAUACCCU
rnacentral:rRNA from 1 species